UCACCAUUCAGUCUAGAGAAACAACUAAUUUACACUGUUGUUCCAUGUAGUUUUAUUCGCGAUCAAUUUGAUCUAUAUAGUUUUGUUUUGUUUUGUUUUUUUACAAUUGUACACAUUGUAGUUUUUUUUUCUUUUUUCGGUAUAAAUUGUUUGAGCAAAAUUCCGCACGGGGAAUAUUCGCACGUAAAUUCUUUGACCCUUGAACUUCCUUCUCUUUCAUUUCUCUCGAUCCAUCUGAAAAAGGUUGGAGUAAAUAAACCACACUCAACGAGUGUUGGCCAAAGGCCCUUCGAUGCCUAAGUUAGUUCGAUUGGACCUUGAAAAAUAUACGACAAUAGCUAAGAAUUGAGUGGUUGGAGUCGUGUGUGGUGGUGGCCGGAGAGAGAGAGAGAGAGAGAGAGAGAGAGAGAGAGAGAGAUGUUUCUUGAGUAAAAGUAAUCAAUGUUUCUUGAGUAAAAAUCUGAUUACCUCAUAUGUGUGAUGUAGCUAUGUAUUUAUAGUACUCCCUGUCAGUUAGGGUUUGAAGAAUAAUCCUUAUUUAAUUAGGAUUAUUCUUACCCAAAAAUAAGAGAUUGAAAUUAAACAAGGAGAUUCGGUGGAAAUCUCAUUAUUAAUUUAGGGAGAUAUUAGUGUCACCCGCUUAUUAGUUGCCAAAAUAUAUGCUCUCAUAAAUGCCCCCUAGCUUCUACAUGGCGCGUAUGUGGCAAGGAGGAGAUGUGAAAUAUUCUUCGGGCUUUCCGACUGCGUUUGGGCUUCCACUUGUGAGUAGGGCUCCAAGUUAAAGUAGGCCUUUGAUUUCUUCUUGGAAUUGGUUUGUGACUCCUUGUUGGUUAAGGAUACCCAACUAUUAUAAAUACAAGGCUUUUCUUCACUCCUAUUCAAAUUGCAAACUUGUCUUCCUCUACUUUCUAGCUUGUGAGAGACAUUGAAGGAGUGUACUGUUGGAAUUCUAAAAAGGAUUUAAAAAUUUAACCGUUUUGAUUUAUUUAAUGAUUUUGGCUGUUUUAUUUUAUUUAUUGUGGGGGUUAUACAUAUUUAAUUUUCAAGUGUUA
rnacentral:lncRNA from 1 species